rnacentral:rRNA from 1 species
AUGCCGCCGUCCCUCCUACUCCCCGCCUCCGCCUCCGCCUCCGCCUCCGCCUCCUCCUCCUCUGGUAUUAGUAUGGGGAGGCUGUCACCUCGGCAGCCGCCCACGCCCCUGCUCGUCUGCUUCCCCGCGCGCCGCAGCCGCAACCGCCUCCAUGCGGAUGUGGGGCUCCGCCUCGCCGCCGCCGGACCCAACGGCGUCAACGGUGCGGCCUCUCCCGGUCCAGGGGACGGCGGCGCCAACAACCUGCCCAAAAACCGGAGGGAUAUUCUCCUGGAAUACGUAAAAGGCGUCCAGCCAGAGUUUAUGGAGCUUUUCGUGAAAAGAGCCCCAACACAGGUUGUCGAUGCCAUGCGCCAUACAGUCACAAAUAUGAUUGGGACUCUGCCACCUCAAUUUUUUGCUGUAACCGUCACAACGGUUGCUGAAAAUCUGGCACAGCUUAUGUACAGCGUUUUGAUGACUGGAUACAUGUUCAGGAAUGCACAGUAUCGUCUGGAACUGCAACAGAGCCUGGAGCAGAUUGCUCUUCCUGAACCCAAAGGAGAAAAGGGCUCAGAAGAUUAUGCUCCUGGAACCCAGAAAAAGGUGAGUGGGGAAGUGAUCCGAUGGAACAAGACCACUGGACCAGAAAAGAUUGACGCUGUGAAAUAUAUAGAAUUGCUUGAAGCAGAAAUCGAUGAGCUGAGCCGUCAAGUUGCUAGGAAAUCAUCUCAAGGAAGCAAUGAGCUCCUGGAAUACCUAAAAACCCUAGAACCUCAAAAUCUAAAGGAACUGGCGAGUAGUGCGGGUGAGGACGUUGUAUUUGCAAUGAACGCAUUCAUAAAGCGUCUCUUGGCUGUCUCGGACCCUGCGCAGAUGAAGACGGCGGUUUCGGAGACGAGCGGUGCCCAGCUGGCGAACCUGCUGUUCUGGCUGAUGAUCGUCGGGUACAGCAUGCGCAACAUUGAGGUGCGUUUCGACAUGGAGAGAGUGCUGGGCGCCGCCCCCAAGAUGGGCGGAGAGCUGCCGCCUGGUCCUGGAGACAACACACAGACACAACUAUAG